GGAUUUUAAUGAUCCAGCCCUAAGUUGAUAUAGAACAUAUUUCAGCCUUAUGAAGACAUUGAUAAGUUAUCAUUAGAGAGUGUAUUAAAUUAUAGGAUAAUGAUGCCUCUCUGGAACUAAGGACUGGUAUAGGAUGAAUUGUUUUCCAAUAAAAUAGAGACACUACUACUAUAGUAUGUUUCUAAAGUGGAUAUUGGAGAACAUAGUAUUUCGGAACACAACAGUCAUUGAUAUUUAAGGAUAAUGAUCGUGGUCCUUCCCUGCCUGGAACUAAGAGCCUCUGGAAGAGAAUAAUUGUUUUCUAAUGAGACAGCGACAAGUUUAGCGUGCUACUAUUGCAGUUACUAGAGAACAUAGCAAUUUUGAACUCAGUCUACUUGUAUACUAUCUGAUCAUCUUGAGGAAUAGACUAAUGCCCUGGAAAUUACUCUGAUGAGGCGGUUUGGGAUUUAAGUCCAGUUCAAGCAAAGACGACAUGUACAGACUGUACACCUUAAAACAAUAUUGGGAAAUUGUAAUAGUACCGCAGUAACAACAGCUAUAAAAGCACAGGUCUAAAUACAGAGAUGUGGAUAAAGGAAGACUAUCACUUUGUGUCCAAUGUAAUGGAGGAAUGUUAUGUUAUGCCCAAUAAUAAGCAAGUUUAACUCUGGAACAUGGAGGAAAACUCCAGUGACUAGUAACAUCAAAGAAUAAAACGAGCAGAAUAAUACUUGUGAUUCCAUAUCACUUUUCAAAAAUUGAUCUUGCAAAAUGCCGUUUGGAGAUUACCCAUCAUCUAAGAAUGCGGCGCCACAUCUGUCAUACGAGAACAUAUCUGGGAUACUUAGUAUAUCCGUACAAUCCACAUUAGUGUUGGCAAAUAUAUUUCCUCUGGUCGUGGCAUGUCGUUUCAAGAAACAAUCCAACAAACUCGUUACAGAUAUUUUGAUCUCUGCUUUGAGCGUAACUGACAUUCUUUCAGUAGUGAUCCCAGCUCCGUUUGGGAUUAUAUCUUACUUCACAAGGACUUGGUAUGGAGGGAAACAUACGUGUGAGUUUUAUCAGUUGACGACUAACUGGUUCCAGCUUGCCUCUAUGUGUCUCAUUAGCUUCAUGUGUAUUGACCGUUGGUUGGCACUUAGAGUCGCUUUGAUCUGUAAGACUAGUUCUAGUGCUGAUAAACACAGGGCUAAGAUCAUCAUUAUCGUCAUAUAUUUACUGACUUUCGUUGUGGCUGCUUUACCCUUGAUGGGACUUGGGCCACCGACUAUAUCUGACUCGGGGCACUUGUGUACUUCAUGGAUUGUCGCCACAUCUCAAUCAUCCAAGCUAGAAGGAUUACGUGAGCAUACAUUUUAUGUCAUGUUCCUUAUAGUCGGUUAUGGGAACUUGUUAGUGGUUGUGUGCUUCAAUGCAAGGGUGACUGCGUGCCUCUGGAGCCUCCACAAGAUGACCACCAACCGAUCCUUGCAAAUCAGAGGCUUGUAUGCUGGUUAUAUGGAGAAGAAGAUCGUCAUGGAGUGCACCAUUAUGAUUCUUAUUGUCACCAUUGUCUUCUAUCUCACUUGGCUGCCUGCGUUGGUUAUCAUCACAAUGCAGAAAGUUGGGUCACCAAUAGAUGUCGCCACUGUAUUGUACGCUCUAUUGAGUACGAUGUUGACAGGUCUGCUCAAUCCUAUUCUAUAUGGCUUGUUCUCUAGGCCCUAUAGACUGGGCUAUGCUAAAUUGUGUAUCGGUGCUACCAAAUGCAUGUGUGGUUGCCCUCAGAGAUCAAUCUCAAUCGAUGAAGAUGUAGGAAUUGCCAACCCCUGCCAUCAGCAAUCAUGUCAUAUAUCAUCCCUCGCCAGUGAGGCUAGUUCAAUUACUGCGCUGUUACACCAUAGACAGGGCGUGAGAGAACCUGAUGAUGCUGGGGACCCUCUGGUAGAGCGAACAUCUAGCAUUCUCACUAUGCCUCAUAGCUCAAGCAUGAGGAUUGUACGAUCAGAUACAUUAGACAUGAGAAAUGUCAUUCAAGGCUAUAGCGCCGAAAAUAUGUGUGGUGAACAAGAUGUUGAGGAUAAUGAUGAUGAUAUCAACGUCAUAGAGCCUCGUUUUAAUGCUCCUAUGACAUCCUUCCUUCCAAUGCCCGAAUGUAGUUCAAACAGCCAAGCAUCUUCCAGCACUGGUAAUAUGACGGUCUCCUCAUCAUGCCAUGACGUAGAUGAGGCAUAUGUUGCUCACAGAGGGACUAUGGAAGAGACUGGUAUAUGUGACCCGAUUGUCAGAGAGAGACCACAUAAAACUCUUUUAACACAUGUGAUAAUAGAAGAGAGUGACUUGUAAAUGCACAUUGUAGAACAAUCAUGAUCAAACAAUCAAUUCAUGUAUCAUUUAUUAGAAAUAUGAUAUUCAAAGCAAA
rnacentral:misc_RNA from 1 species